rnacentral:tRNA from 1 species
UCCCUCGUGGUCUAGUAGUAAGGUAUCUGCCUGCCAAUGCAGGAGACACAGGUUUGAUUCCUGAUUCGGGAA